GGCUUGGUAGUCCAGUGGUAGGAUUCCUGUUUUGGGUUCAAUCUGAAAAACAGGAGGUCCCGAGUUCAAACCUCGGUCAAGCCC
rfam:Pyrenochaeta sp. DS3sAY3a unplaced genomic scaffold IQ07scaffold_6, whole genome shotgun sequence.